rnacentral:rRNA from 1 species
UGGGGAAUUUUGGACAAUGGGCGCAAGCCUGAUCCAGCCAUGCCGCGUGCGGGAAGAAGGCCUUCGGGUUGUAAACCGCUUUUGUCAGGGAAGAAAAGGUUCUGGCUAAUACCUGGGACUCAUGACGGUACCUGAAGAAUAAGCACCGGCUAACUACGUGCCAGCAGCCGCGGUAAUACGUAGGGUGCAAGCGUUAAUCGGAAUUACUGGGCGUAAAGCGUGCGCAGGCGGUUAUGCAAGACAGAGGUGAAAUCCCCGGGCUCAACCUGGGAACUGCCUUUGUGACUGCAUGGCUAGAGUACGGUAGAGGGGGAUGGAAUUCCGCGUGUAGCAGUGAAAUGCGUAGAUAUGCGGAGGAACACCGAUGGCGAAGGCAAUCCCCUGGACCUGUACUGACGCUCAUGCACGAAAGCGUGGGGAGCAAACA